AUCCGGCUGACGAAUCUUAAAUAGGACGAAACGCGCGUUCUGGAU
rfam:Schistosoma mansoni strain Puerto Rico chromosome 7, complete genome